UACAGAGGGUGCGAGCGUUAAUCGGAAUUACUGGGCGUAAAGCGCACGCAGGUGGCUAAGUCAGUCGAUUGUGAAAGCCCUGGGCUUAACCUGGGAAUUGCAGUCGAUACUACUUAGCUAGAGUAUGGGAGAGGGCAGUGGAAUUCCCGGUGUAGCGGUGAAAUGCGUAGAUAUCGGGAGGAACAUCAGUGGCGAAGGCGGCUGCCUGGCCCAAUACUGACACUCAGGUGCGACAGCGUGGGGAGCAAACAGG
rnacentral:rRNA from 1 species